rnacentral:rRNA from 1 species
UCGCUACUACCGAUUGAAUGGCUUAGUGAGCUGCAGGGACCGAGGACCUACCCUUUCGGGGGUCAGGAUCCAUGGGAACUGCCGCAAACUUGAUCAUUUAGAGGAAGUAA